rnacentral:lncRNA from 1 species
CAUCUCCAGGUUCUGUUAGACAUCACAGUAAAGUAAUUCUUUACUGCUUGCUUUACUUGAGCCAUCUUUCUAAUGUGUAUUCUUGAAAGUAUCCUGGCUGUAUGAAUCUCAAAUUUCAGUCCCUUUUUUAGACCACCAUGCAGCCCAGAGGUUUGGAGCUUUGUCUUGGAAGCUCCUUCCAUCAAUCAGAAUACCAAAUUUACAUUGUUAGGUUCCCUGGAGGUGUUGGAGCUCUGGAUUCAGCAAUUAUUGUGAAUAAGAACCUUGCAGCUAGGGUGAGUGCCAACAUUCCAAGUGCUAGCACAAUGGAAAAGAGAAGUGGUUUAUGUUAGAAUAUGGUCACAUUCUUCUGAUUAAACCCACUCAAAAAAGACAACAUUGUAAUAUUUUCCAAUGACUGUUUAUCAUGAAUUACGUCAGCCUUCGUUUAAAUUGCUAUUAUUUCUCCUUAAUGCUUCUUGGUGCCUGCAUAAUUUACGGCACUGGCAGCCUCGGGACUAUGAAAUAACCUUUCACAACCACCGUACAAUAGUGAAGAACAUGGCGUUUUUGUUGUUAAUUAUUAUAGGACUCCUUUAACUUUUACAAAGUGACAUAAAAUAUUGUUGAGGCAUUUAUGAUUCAAGCUACUUUUACAUGGAUCUAUUUUGCUUCUGGCUAGUUCUUAACUAAAGCAAUCAUUUGUGGUUAUUAGGCCGCCGGAGAUAUUAUGUCAGAACUGGUUUAAGAGUAUUAUUAUGUAUCCCAUGUCAUACACUACAUGUCAGCACUUGAGGCUGUCUUUCAAUAAAAACAAAUGUAAUUUUAGUUUGUGCUCUUUUAGGGAUUGGCCAUUUAUAAGCCAACCUGAGUUCAUUCGAAGAUUUCCUAGGCAAACUUCUUUGGAGUAUUUAUUUAGAAAUAUGGGAAAAUUCUGUAAACAUGUUCUGGAAUAUAUGUAGCAUUUGAAUAUGAAAGAGGAAGUUGGCAUAAUUGAAAACCUAAAUUCAUCUUCUAUAAAUAUUACUCUGUCAGAGGAAUGGGUUUCUGAAAUUAGAGAAUCCAGAUUAUGAAGAAUAAAGUACUGCAGAGCUGAAGGAUUUGGUCAGUGAAAGGUUGAUUUGGAAAGUGGAAGAGGAUAAGGAAUUUAAAGCAGACUGUCAAGUCAGAAACAACAGACUCUUGCUUCACUUUCAAGCCUUGAUUUCCCUAGUUUUAAAAUGGGGAUGAUAAUCCUCUCAGCACAGAGUGCCUUAUUCAUCCAUCCAUCUGUACUUCUUUCUGUCAAGGCCAUCGUUCAUCAAUUCAACAAAUAUUUAGGGAUAACUUAUUAUGUACCAGAUAAUCCAUGAGGCCCUGAUUAAACCUUAUGGAAUUAAAUCGACAUGACUCAUCUGCCCUAAUUCUAGAGCCUGGGAAUGUGACUAAAGUACAAAGUUACCAAACCAAUGAACUGAAGAAAAUCUAGAAAAGUUUUCACGGGUAGAUAUUGAUUGAGUUUCCACUAGAGACGAAUGAUCAUCUGUAUUGUUAUUCUUUUCGGGUUCUGAAAUGGCUUGGAAAGAACUUUUAAAAUAUCGAGAAUGGCUCUGUACCAAAGACACUUAGGAAUAGACAAGUAUCUAAGAAAAGAUAGCUACUUGAUUACUACAUAUAAGUGCCCUACUGGAAGCAGUGCUAUAAGUAAAAGUCUUGCAGUCGGGUUCAGAUUCCAAGUGCCUUUUCCAUGAGUGGAGUUAGAUGCAUGCUGAGUACUUAUACCCAAGCCUUGUUGCAAGAAACACAACCAUAUGAAACAACUGACCAGGGCAGAACUGCCAAAUGGAAAAAGAAACCCCCUUAUCAUUGCCUCACCCCUCAGUCUGGCCAAUUUCUCCUUCUAUUCUGGAGAUCUCACCUUAAACAUCACUUCCUCAAAGAGGUCUUCCCUGACAUUCCAGUGAGUUCAGCACCCUUGUGAUGUUUCUUACUCUCACCCUUUCAUAACACUGAUCCAGCUCACCUUGCUGCAUCUCUCUUUUCCAUGCCAAAACCUCAGCUUUAUGGGAGGAAGGAGAAAGGGCAUCCUGGAAACGCCUUGUCCCUGGUGUGCAUCUGCUUAUCCUAGGUAGCCAGUGAAUGUUGAAGGGAUGGAUGAGUUAACUCUAAGUCACAGAAAAC